GCACGUUUUGUUUAUAAUAUAUAACACUGUCUGUGCCAUAAGGGUAGGUUACAUUGGGUGAGUAGCCUGCAGAGACAAAACCAGGGAUGAAGGCAAUGACAUUUCUCUGCGCCAUCUUUUUGGUAUUGGUGGUUUACUCGACCGCAGGGGAGACCGGUGGUCAGGUACAGUUGGGCCGCCUGGGUGACCAGAUAGACCGACAUAAUAUUGAACAGGAAUCAAAGGAGGCAAAGAAGAGAGCCGUCGUCGUUGGUUCUGUCAUAGCGGGUGCGUCUGGCGUGGUUGGUAUCCUGCAGUCUGUAUCCUCCCUUGUGACGUCAGACCGUGCUUGCGUCAUAGCGUUGGCCAACACUGGUAGCAAGAGCCUGGUGAAGCCGA